UUUUAAGAAAUUUUGAGCUUAGCCUUAGACAAUUGUGCAGGCUAUUAUGUCACUGGUAAAAUUGUUCACUAACUGAAAAAUGAAACUGUAGUCUGUUAGAUUGGCAACAGAUUAUAUAGAUUUAGAAAUACAUACUUGCUUUAUUUAAAUUUAAUGAUAUCUUAAGCUAGGUUUCUUAAUUUUGUGAUCUUCGUGUAGAAAAAUCUAUCUUUCUGAAACAACCAGAGACUGAUUUUCCUAUUGUUAGCGUUCUUAAAACUUAAUUCAGUCUUUGUACUAUAAUUGUAUUCUAAGUGUUAAUUUUUAUUAUUGUUUUUGUUAAAGUAUUAUACAGAGAGAAUUACCCAGCUGGCCCAGAGUAAAUAUUUACACAUGCUUAGAUGGAAGAGGUUUUGCCAGCACAGUAAGAUUAUGGAGCAACUUUAUCCUUUUUACAAGAAACAAGUUGCCUACAUUAUGGAGGAGUACAAUGAUGCCCUUCAGAGAGCUGAAAGAUUGUCUGUUGCCCGAGAAAAUUUCCUUACGGGAAAAAAUAAUCCUUCUAACUUAGUGACACAAGAAGACCUGACAAUUUAUACAAAGUGGUUUGUGUGUCACCUACAUUCACUCAGGACUAUUCACCACUACCUACAGGUGUGUGAAACAUAGUUAUGUGAUGAUGUGGUUCCCUCCCAUGAUGGUCAGCAUUGUUUAUUCACAUUUGUCAACUACUUUUGGAUUGUCACUGUUUCUGUAUUCUACUUACCCUACAAAUGACAGGAAAAUAAUGAGUCAUUAGCUUUUUUCUUUGUUUUUUUUUUUUAAUAUUUUUUUUAUUUUUUAUUAUUUUUAUUUUUUAAAUUUUUCUUUAUUUAUGAUAGUCAUACAGAGAGAGAGGGAGAGAGGCAGAGACAAAGGCAGAGGGAGGAGCAGGCUCCAUGCACCGGGAGCCCGACGUGGGAUUCGAUCCCGGGUCUCCAGGAUCGCGCCCUGGGCCAAAGGCAGGCGCCAAACCGCUGCGCCACCCAGGGAUCCCAGAUUUUUUCUUUGAAACUUUUGAAAACUUUUUUUUCUGAAAGCUUGCUUUAAUGAAACUACUCCUCCGUUAGUUUUCUCAAAGAUGUCUCCGUUAUAUUAUUUCAUAUUCACUCUGCAAGUUCUUGUUUUCAUCAGCUUGUUCAGAACUUAUGAUGUUCAAUUUAGACCCACUUUUUAAUUCAGCAAUAUCUAAUGAGGGUCUAAUGAGGGUCUAAUAUAUGCCAGGUAUGUGUCAGGGCCAUGAAGCAAAAACAUGGUCUUUCCUGAAAAGUAACUGGGUCCCAGGCUGGUAGGAAAAUGGGCAAGUAAAUAGUCAACUGAAAUACAAUAUGGUAAGAGAGAAUAAGUAUAAGCACAAAGUACAGAGAAUCACAGAGGAGACGCACAGAGGAGGCUAGGCUAGAGACAUCAGAAAUGAGUGAUGUGAUCAUAUUUUCAUUUUGGAAAGAUUAUUAUUUUGCCACCUAAAUCUUUUCCUGCUCCUCUAUGGCUUAUCUCAGUGAUAAGAUACAGUUAUCCAAACCAGAAAGCUGGCCAUCUUCCUAACUUCAGGCCUUCCCUAGUUAGUCACCAUAGUGUCUCCCUCUGAAACCUCUCUCCCCAGUCAUGUGUAUAGUAACAUUCUGCUCAUAAGUCCCCAUCCCCCACUAAACUGUAAACUCUUUGAGGUUGGUCCCACUACUUACUCUUCUUGAUAUCACUAGCACCUCACACAAUGUCUUGUCAUCAUCCAUUAUGGAUGCUUGAUCAAUGUAGAUAUGCUUGGAGGUUAAUGUUGCUUAGCAUUGGUGAUUAUAAUAGGUCUCUUAGGUCUAGAUUUAGCACCUUAUGUUUGAGCAGGUUACUAAGGCCCAACUCUGCCUCCUUCUCCUCUAUCAAAGCAAAGGUUUGCUCCUGAGCCUAAGUGUGAAAGCUUCUGUGAGAAUUGAGUUGACUUUUAGCCUCUUGGUUGUGCUUUUCUGUAGUCACUCCAGUAUUUGCCUAUCUCCAAAGUGUUGAAUAUAGCUGUCAAUGAAGGUCCUGAGGCUGAUCAGGAGAAUGAAAGGGUCUGGGUCAAUGACAUCGACCCUAACAUCCGGGGUUGUACAUCUCCGGGCCCAGUGAAUACCAGGAUUUCAGGUAAGAAAUUAGUCUUCUUUCCACCAGGAUAAUGUGGAGAAAGAAGAUUGUGGUUUUGCACAUGUGUUAUUUUGUCACAUGAUCUUGCUUAAAGCUUUUCUAUAUACCAAGAAAGUUAUACCUUCUUAAUAAAUAAGUAUUAACAUAAUAUUUUCUGAUGGAA
rnacentral:lncRNA from 1 species